AAGCAGAAAAAGAAGAGAGAGAUAUAGAUUCAGGAAGUCUUGCAGUAGAUCUUGCGUUGUUGUUGUGAUUGAAAGAAACACCGGAGAGACGAAGGUGAUAGGAAGUCUUGCAAUAGUAGAUCUUCCGUUUUUGGAAUCAAAAGAAGAAGGAAAGAGGACCUUAGUGAUUCGGAGGAGCAUAAGAAGAGUGCUUUGAGUCUGGCUUUAUUUGGGGCUGCUUACUUACAGACAUUACUCUCUAGGUCAGUCAAGUAAUUAAAUUUAUGUUUUAGU